UCAGUGGGGAGGGGGUCCCUCAGCCUGGACUGCGAGAGGACACAGGCCAGGCCAAGGGACCCCACCAGUGCAUG
rfam:Myotis lucifugus cont2.13107, whole genome shotgun sequence.